AAAUUGGAUUCAGCAUCUUUGAACGUAUUCUACUUGCCUGUUAACUUCCUUCUUAUUUCCCACUGCAUUCUUGAAAUAAAUCUCUUGUUGGUAUAGCAGCACAAAGAGAGCAGCUUGCACAAGUCACGUGGCACUUAAAGGAACUUCAACACCAACAAAAACAAGUCUCUGUCAGUCCUUUGGUUCUUCUCCUGAAGAAAGAAGAGGUGUGCAUCUUAGCUCUACACAAGGAAAAUUCACAAGGUGAAAACAAAAAGCUAUUGAUGCCUACUAAUUCCAACAAAUGCCAUCCUUUUUCUGUGGUAUCCUUUGGCUGA
ensembl:lncRNA